UACGUAGGGCGCAAGCGUUGUCCGGAAUUAUUGGGCGUAAAGAGCUCGUAGGCGGCCUGUUGCGUCCGCUGUGAAAUCCCGGGGCUCAACCCCGGGCGUGCAGUGGAUACGGGCUGGCUGGAGGCAGGCAGGGGAGAACGGAAUUCCCGGUGUAGUGGUGGAAUGCGUAGAUAUCGGGAGGAACACCAGUGGCGAAGGCGGUUGCCUGGGGCUUUGCUGACGCUGAUGCGCGAAAGCGUGGGGAGCGAUCCGG
rnacentral:rRNA from 1 species